GCGCACCAGGCGAGAAACUUUACAAUGUGCGAAAGCACGAUAAGGGAACUCUGAGUGCCUCCUAAGGAGGCUGUUCAGGUGUCUAAAAGCACCUGAAGGAAGGGCUGGGUAAGACCGGUGCCAGCCGCCGCGGUAACACCGGCAGCCCAAGUGGUAGCCACGUUUAUUGGGUCUAAAGCGUCCGUAGCCGGCUGGGUAAGUUCCUUGGGAAAUUUGGCUGCUUAACAGUCAAGCUUUCAGGGAAUACUGCCCGGCUUGGGACCGGGAGAGGUCAGAGGUACUCCAGGGGUAGGGUGAAAUCCAUUAAUCCUUGGGGGACCACCGGUAGCGAAGGCGUCUGACCAGACCGGGUCCGACGGUGAGGGACGAA
rnacentral:rRNA from 1 species